GAUGAACGCUAGCUACAGGCUUAACACAUGCAAGUCGAGGGGAAACGAUAUUGGAAGCUUGCUUCCGAUAGGCGUCGACCGGCGCACGGGUGAGUAACGCGUAUCCAACCUGCCCAUCACUGGGGGAUAACCUUGCGAAAGUAAGACUAAUACCCAAUGAUAUCUCAAGAAGACAUCUGAAUGAGAUUAAAGAUUUAUCGGUGAUGGAUGGGGAUGCGUCUGAUUAGCGUGUUGGCGGGGUAACGGCCCAACAAGGCGACGAUCAGUAGGGGUUAUGAGAGGAAGGUCCACCACAUUGGAACUGAGACACGGUCCAAACUCCUACGGGAGGCAGCAGUGAGGAAUAUUGGUCAAUGGGCGAGAGCCUGAACCAGCCAAGUAGCGUGCAGGAUGACGGCCCUAUGGGUUGUAAACUGCUUAUAUAAGGGAAUAAAGUGAGCCUCGUGAGGCUUUUUGCGUGUACCUUAUGAAUAAGGACCGGCUAAUUCCGUGCCAGCCGCCGCGGUAA
rnacentral:rRNA from 1 species